rnacentral:rRNA from 1 species
AUUGAACUCUGGCGGCAGGCUUAACACAUGCAAGUCGAGCGGGGGAAGGUAGCUUGCUACCGGACCUAGCGGCGGACGGGUGAGUAAUGCUUAGGAAUCUGCCUAUUAGUGGGGGACAACAUCUCGAAAGGGAUGCUAAUACCACAUACGUCCUACGGGAGAAAGCAGGGGAUCUUCGGACCUUGCGCUAAUAGAUGAGCCUAAGUCGGAUUAGCUAGUUGGUGGGGUAAAGGCCUACCAAGGCGACGAUCUGUAGCGGGUCUGAGAGGAUGAUCCGCCACACUGGGACUGAGACACGGCCCAGACUCCUACGGGAGGCAGCAGUGGGGAAUAUUGGACAAUGGGGGGAACCCUGAUCCAGCCAUGCCGCGUGUGUGAAGAAGGCCUUAUGGUUGUAAAGCACUUUAAGCGAGGAGGAGGCUACUUUAGUUAAUACCUAGAGAUAGUGGACGUUACUCGCAGAACAAGCACCGGCUAACUCUGUGCCAGCCGCCGCAGUAA